AACGUAGGUGGCGAGCGUUAUCCGGAUUGACUGGGCGUAAAGGGUGUGCAGGCGGCUUCUCAAGUGGUGUAUGAAAUCUCCCGGCUCAACCGGGAGGGGUUAUGCCAGACUGGGGAGCUAGAGCGUGGGAGAGGGUGGUGGAAUUCCGGGUGUAGUGGUGAAAUGCGUAGAUAUCUGGAGGAACACCGGUGGCGAAGGCGGCAUCCUGGACCGACACUGACGCUGAGGAGCGAAAGCCAGGGGAGCAAACGGG
rnacentral:rRNA from 1 species